rfam:Oryza glumipatula chromosome 6, whole genome shotgun sequence.
AUUAUGAGAAUACUACGCGUUCUCGUGCCAACGUUUUACUGUUCGUUUUAUAUGAAAUUUUUAUAUAACUAAUAUUUUUAUUAUUAUUAGAUGAUAAAACAUGAUUAAUACUUUAUACGUGAUUUAUCUUUUUAAAUUUUUUUUAUAAUAUUUUCAAAUAAAACGGACGGUCAAACGUUGGACACAUAAAUCAGG